AGAGCGAACGCUGGCGGCAGGCUUAACACAUGCAAGUCGAGCGGGCGUAGCAAUACGUCAGCGGCAGACGGGUGAGUAACGCGUGGGAACAUACCUCUUGGUUCGGAACAACACAGGGAAACUUGUGCUAAUACCGGAUAAGCCCUUACGGGGAAAGAUUUAUCGCCGAGAGAUUGGCCCGCGUCUGAUUAGCUAGUUGGUAGGGUAAUGGCCUACCAAGGCGACGAUCAGUAGCUGGUCUGAGAGGAUGAUCAGCCACAUUGGGACUGAGACACGGCCCAAACUCCUACGGGAGGCAGCAGUGGGGAAUAUUGGACAAUGGGGGCAACCCUGAUCCAGCCAUGCCGCGUGAGUGAUGAAGGCCCUAGGGUUGUAAAGCUCUUUUGUGCGGGAAGAUAAUGACGGUACCGCAAGAAUAAGCCCCGGCUAACUUCGUGCCAGCAGCCGC
rnacentral:rRNA from 1 species